GGGCGUAAAGUUCGUUGCCAUAGACCCGAAACCGGGUGACCUAUCCAUGAGCAGGUUGAAGCAAGGGUAAAGCCUUGUGGAGGACCGAACCGUCAACGGCUGAAAACGUUCCGGAUGACUUGUGGAUAGGGGUGAAAGGUCAAUCAAACCCGGUGAUAGCUGGUUCUCCCCGAAAUAUAUUGAGGUAUAGCCUCGGGAAUUGAUUAGCGGAGGUAAAGCACUGACAGAGCUAGGGGUCCUACCAGAUUACCAAACUCUAUCAAACUCAGAAUGCCGCUUAAUUGUAUCCCGGGAGUCAGACGGCGGGUGCGAAGGUUCGUCGUCAAAAGGGAAACAGCCCAGACCAACAGCUAAGGUCUCCAAAUCCAUGCUCAGUGGUGAAGGUAGUGGAACCGUUUAGACAGCCAGGACGUUGGCUUAGAAGCAGCCAUCAUUUAAAGAAAGCGUAAUAGCUCACUGGUCUAAUGGCUCUGCGCCGAAAAUGUAACGGGGCUAAGCAUGGUACCGAAGCUUUGGCAAUCCCCUUUGGGGAUUGGGUAGGGGAGCGUUCGCUGCGGGCUGAAGGUGUGCCGGAAGACAUGCUGGACUGCAGUGAAGUGAUUAUGCUGACAUGAGUAACGAUAAAAUAUGUGAAAAACAUAUUCGCCGAAAACCCGAGGUUUCCUGGGUAAAGGUAAUCUUCCCAGGGUUAGUCGGAUCCUAAGGUGAGGGUGAAAGCCGUAACCGAUGGAAAACAGGUUAAUAUUCCUGUACUUGUUGUGUAGCGCGAUGGAGGGACGCAGGAAGAUAGGCGGGCCGGGUGUUGGAUAUCCCGGUGCAAGCGUGUAGGAAUAUCCGGUAGGCAAAUCCGCCGGACGAAUCUGAGACGCGAGUCCGUGGGCGCAAGCCCUGAAGCCGUUGAGUCUAUGCUGCCUAGAAAAGCUCCUAAGUUUAUCCACAGCAAUCCGUACCGCAAACCAACUCAGGUGGGUGGGAUGAACAAUCCAAGGCGCUCGAGAGAACUCUGGCCAAGGAACUCGGCAAAAUAACCCCGUAACUUCGGAAGAAGGGGUGCUCUCUAGGGUGACAUGUUUAACAUAUGAAGCCCCGGGGAGCCGCAGUGAAUUGGUGGUGGCGACUGUUUACUAAAAACAUAGGUCUGUGCGAAGUCCUAAAGACGACGUAUACGGACUGACGCCUGCCCGGUGCUGGAAGGUUAAAAGGAGGGGUCAGCGCAAGCAAAGCUCCGAAUUGAAGCCCCAGUAAACGGCGGCCAUAACUAUAACGGUCCUAAGGUAGCGAAAUUCCUUGUCGGGUAAGUUCCGACCUGCACGAAUGGUGUAAUGAUCUGGA
rnacentral:rRNA from 1 species